GCAUCCAUGGCCGAAUGGUUAAGGCACCCAACUCAUAAUUGGAGAAUCUGCGGGUUCAAUUCCUGCUGGAUGCA
rnacentral:tRNA from 3 species